rnacentral:lncRNA from 1 species
GAAGACGUUUCUGACACAAAACCCCAGGGGAAUCCACGGAGGAGCUGGGCUGUCAUUACUUAUUAACGGUGGGCCUGAUCCCCAGCCAGGCUGGCCCAGGGAAAUAGCCUGUAGGGAGGCCGGCCUCGCUGCUACCAGGUGGAUUAACACUUUCAGGGCGGGAGGGAGCUGUUUGGGGGGGGGGUCAAUUGUCACAUUGUUGCAUGUAAGAGAGGCCAUUCUUUACACAUUAGACACAGGCGCCUUCUUCCUCGGCGUUCCCUCCCCCUCGGCGUCUGCAUUCUUCUCUUCCCUUCUCCUCCUGCCCGCUCUGGUUUUAAGCCAGCAAACCCACAGGAUGUGGGAGACUGCGCUCGCUCACGGGGAAGAGGAAGAUCUGAGAAAGCACACGGCCCGGAACCUGGGGAUGAUGUCUUCGGAGAGGGCCCGAGGAGGCGGGGAGAGGGAGAGGCAGCGGAGCCGCAGCGGGAGCCGGUACAUCCCGGUUGCAGACCGGGAAAGCCUGGCCCUGAGGGUGAAGUCACCGGGAAACGGAGGGUUCUCGGCCAGCAAUAAGGUGCCCACGGGUAUCAGGACGCUGGAGAAGGUCCCUCGCUGCUCCUCGCCACCGCGCUGUUGAAAUGACAUGGCUAUGGAGGAAUCCUUUCGUUCUGCAAGCGUAACCACAGGAAUCAGGAUGAGCGAAUUCCGCUCCCUGGAAACCCGGGGUGGCAUCUGCUUUGUCCGUAGAGCUCCUAAGCCAGAGUUCCAUAGCCUUUCAUGGCCUUCGUGUUGGGGAUCGAAAUAAAGCCCACGGAAUUCUCUGCUGGGAAAGGUGA